GGUGUUAGAGUUCUAGUUCAAAAAAACACCCUGAAAGGGAAGUGUAAACCUGACAUUUUCAGCAAGCGUGAUAGCGGGCUCAAUUAAAACACUGCAUUCAGGCAUCCAGAGCUCUAGGAAAAUAUGUACCAAAACUUCACUCUUUGUUGGCUUUGACCAAAACCUCCUCUGAGAAUACCAGACAAGCUUACCAAUACUAGGAAGAAAAAAAUAAGUAGUAAAAUUACCAGCCAACAGGCAAGUAACAAAUAUUUACAAGUAAUUACCUAACUUCAAGUUUCAUUUGAAAAAUACCAAGUUUCAGCUCCUAGCUUUGAAGAAUUAUAUUCAAUUAUGUUCACUUUAUCUUCAUUUCUUCCUCCACACAAAAAUAAAAUCUGUUGUUGGGCCUUGUUUUUCUUGUUGAGUCCGUGCGAAAUGGAUGCCUGCACUUGGGCACUUUUCAUUUCAAGUUUAGGAAUACUAAGUGACUGGGAAGAGGGAGAGGAUGUAUGUAAGUAUGCAUGGGUGCACGGAUGCAGAUUUAUAUAGAGAGAAUUAUCACUCAGUGGUAAUACGCUUGCACACUUAGGAUUCCUGAAUAAUUUAGCAUUUUAGGAUAUUUCAAGGGUUGUGUACUGAAUACCAUUAAAUAUAAUUAUCAGAAUAUUUUAUAUUUGCCUUGGUCUCUGAAGUCAUGUUGAUAAAUAAUUAGUGUCUGAAAGAACCGAUGCUUACUUAUGGAAAUCAAUAAAUGUGUUGAUUUAAAUGCCGAAAUGGUUUAUUUGGAGAUUAAAGCCGUAUCAUUUAAAGCCAAGUUUCAAAUGGCCAAGGCACCGGGAGCAUGUCAUGAAUGGCAGUGGCCACUUGAUGUCAGGGUUUGACCUACAUAAAUUCUUCUUCCGUAAAACGGGAGUAGUUGGUUGCUCCUCCAAAAUGUAGAGAAAGAGGGUAGAGGAGGCCGCUGGACCAACAGAGACAGUGGCUGUCCACUGCAAGAUAUAACCGGGUUUUUAAAUUUCCUACUGACUCUUCAGGUAGAAGAGUGAAGGCGUAAAUACCCCACAGACAAGGGGAUGCUACGAUUUUAAUAGAUAAAUCCAACACACACACCCAGGAAGAUGAAAAAAUGGAGAUUUCCCAUGUCAUCACAUGCACUGCAAAAGCCAUUUUGUAAUGUAUGCAGUUUCUCAAAGGCUGUUAUAGCCUACCAACAUUAACAGCCUCAGGAAGCCCUUAUUUUGGCCCUGUAACAGUCAGAAUUGUGAUUCUGCUCCAGUGUAAGAAUAUGCCUUCACACUGUAAUGACCUGCAGCCUUUGGGGCUGCUUCUGAGAUGGAGGAAUACAGUCCCUGCAAGCAUGGGCUGUGGAUUGCUCAUGGGGCGGACAGCAAAGGAGAGAGCAAAUGGAUAUUUAGGAAAUUAGCAUCAUUACAGAAGGAAGAAUAUAACUGUUCCUUCUGUGCAUCUCUAGGAAAAGGCAAACCAGUAACUGCCGGUUAACCGUUUCUUUCUCAACUUUGGUUAGGAACUUCCUCAUUUGAAAUAAGUAAUGUACACAAUCCUCUUGCAUUUACUGUAAAAGUAAAGCUUUCACUAAUAAGGCUAAGCAAUGUAUCUCACUUUCAGCUUUAUCAAAGUAUUGUUGUUUACAUUUAAGGCAGGUAGAACAUAAUUCUUCACAACACCAAGCACCAUAGAGAAGUUUAUAUGCUCAAAGCACAGUUCUUUAUAACUCAAGAUAAAUGUCUUCUUGCUUGCUGUUUUCAUUCUUGGGAAUGUCUUGUUUGUCAUAAGCUGAAAAUGGUUUAAUUCAACAGAUCCUCAAAAUAAAAAAGUAAACCCAGAGUGUUGAGACUUAGCAAGGAAUGAGCCACUGGAAGCAAGGUAUUUAUAGUUAGGAUUGGGCAAUGUUAGUAAUGUAUGGUGAUAGCCAUCCCAUCUAUGCAUUUUGGCAUGUGGUUUGAGAGCUUGAAAGAGAAUUGUUGAUUUUGGAAAGCAAACAUAUGCAAGGAGUACAGCAGAAAGAUUAACUGUUUUAGAUUGUAAUGUAUCUCCCUAUCUCCUCGGCACCAUGCAGACUGAGAAGCCUUGAACUGGAAAAAAUCAAAAAAACUGCUGGACAAAGUGUUGUCAAACCCAGGCACUCAGAAAUCACCUAAAGCUGGAAAUUUUUAAGGACAGAGGCUUUAAGAAAAGCACCAGUCAUUGUGAAAACUGUCGGCGCUGGGGUUGUGAUCUAGAGCCCCAACAGGAUGUGCGUAGAUCAUGUAGAAGACGACUGAUGCAUCUCUCAGAAUAGCUGUUGUGAAGAAUAGACAAUUCAGUAGUCACAUACAGCUGUGUAUUGAAACCCAUUUUUGACGUUUUGGAAAAGCUUUCAGUAUGAAAUUAAAAGAUUUGCAAACCAUAA